rnacentral:rRNA from 1 species
UACAGAGGGGGCAAGCGUUAUUCGGAAUUAUUGGGCGUAAAGGGCGCGUAGGCGGCCUGACAAGUGGAAGGUGAAAUCCCUCGGCUUAACCGAGGAACUGCCCUCCAAACUGUUUGGCUUGAGUCCGGAAGAGGUGAGUGGAACUCCUAGUGUAGAGGUGGAAUUCGUAGAUAUUCGGAAGAACACCAGUGGCGAAGGCGGCUCACUGGACCGGUAUUGACGCUGAGGUGCGAAAGCGUGGGGAGCAAACAGGGAUUAAGAUACCCCUAGU